AUUGAACGCUGGCGGCAGGCUUAACACAUGCAAGUCGAGCGGGGGAAGGUAGCUUGCUACCGGACCUAGCGGCGGACGGGUGAGUAAUGCUUAGGAAUCUGCCUAUUAGUGGGGGACAACAUCUCGAAAGGGAUGCUCAUACCGCAUACGUCCUACGGGAGAAAGCAGGGGAUCUUCGGACCUUGCGCUAAUAGAUGAGCCUAAGUCGGAUUAGCUAGUUGGUGGGGUAAAGGCCUACCAAGGCGACGAUCUGUAGCGGGUCUGAGAGGAUGAGCCGCCAAACUGGGACUGAGACACUGCCCAGACUCUUACGGGAGGCAGCAGUGGGGAAUAUUGGACAAUGGGGGGAGCCCUGAUCCAGCCAUGCCGCGUGUGUGAAGAAGGACUUAUGGUUGUAAAGCACUUUAAGCGAGGAGGAGGCUACUUUAGUUAAUACCUAGAGAUAGUGGACGUUACUCGCAGAAUAAGCACCGGCUAACUCUGUGCCAGCCGCCGCGGUAA
rnacentral:rRNA from 1 species